ACCGUAGCAGCGGGGGUGGGGUUCCCCGGGUUCCCCUCACGUCCCCUGGAGCCGGGUGAUCGGCACCCUACCCGGAGUCUAGCUACUCGAAUAAAUUAAAAACAGGACUGCUGAGAAUGACUGAGUAGACCUAAACCUCAGGCCCCUAACGCGCGGGCCUGGAAACCGCUCUCCCGAGGGCCGAGGGGCGAAGGGAACCAAGCCGAGCUGAGUCAGGGCCCAACCGAGGGUUGAGGCCCAGUGAGGACCUGGGGGAAGAGAGGAAGAGAAACGUCAAUUGGUUGCACCUUGCUCACCCCCAACCUGGGCCCUGGCCUACAACCCAGAGAUGUGCCCUGACUGGGGAUUGAGCAGUGACCCUUUGGUCCACAGGACAAUGCUCAGCCCACUGAGCCACACCAGUCAGGGCUCAUUUUUAUUAAUAUUUUCAGUUUUUCUAUCCUCAGCUAUAAGCAGUAGUGCUGCAGCAGAUACUUCAUGACUAAAUACAUGCCUUUAGAGAGUUUACCUCUAACUGACAAAAUAAGUCAUUACUAUAUAAAAAAGCCAGUUGCUUAUUUUUAAAUUUCAAUGUUGGCAUUGUGAAGGUCAAGGUGGAAGGAUUUGAAAUGUCAGGAAGGAGAAAGCAAUCACAGUGGAGGACACUGUAACAGUUACCUAAUAAAGAACACUUGAAGUGAUAGAGAUGUGAUAAAUAAUCCGCAAAAUGCCAUUUUUCUUCUUAUACAGGUCCCCAAUGUGUGAGAGCCAACUACAAAAAUCAGGUAUAAAUGACAUAUGACUAUUUUCCAAGCUACCUAGGUUGAAAAGAAAUGAAGAGUAUUGAUUUAUUCCUUAUUAUUUAUCUUCAUAGACUAUACAUAAACUCCUAGGGAGCAAAGUAUGUUUUUGUAUGAUUUAUACAACAUUGAUGUACAAUAAAAAUAAAACUGGUUGUCAUCUUCUAAACAAACUUAUUCACGUAUAUGAGGUGGAUAUUGCCUGUUUAUAAUUGUGUAAAAUGAAAGUCACUUUCAGAAGCUCAUAGGAUAAGGUCUUGGACCAGAUUAAACGUAUUAUUUUUUCUUCUCUUUCCCUCUCUCUUUUCUGUCCUCAAAUAUUGAUACUUGAAAAGAAAUUGAGUUAAUCAUAAUUGUCACUAUAUUAACCAUGUUGCUUUACAUGGUAAAAUUAACAACAGAGGCCCUGGCUGGUGUAGCUCAGUGGAUUGAGUACUGGCCUGCAAACCAAAGGGUCACUGAUUAGAUU